UGAAGGAGUUUUCGGAUGGAAUUCGAUUGACUGAGUGGCGGACGGGUGAGUAACGCGUGGAUAACCUGCCUCACACUGGGGGACAACAGUUAGAAAUGACUGCUAAUACCGCAUAAGCGCACAGUACCGCAUGGUACAGUGUGAAAAACUCCGGUGGUGUGAGAUGGAUCCGCGUCUGAUUAGCCAGUUGGCGGGGUAACGGCCCACCAAAGCGACGAUCAGUGGCCGACCUGAGAGGGUGACCGGCCACAUUGGGACUGAGACACGGCCCAAACUCCUACGGGAGGCAGCAGUGGGGAAUAUUGCACAAUGGGCGAAAGCCUGAUGCAGCGACGCCGCGUGAGUGAAGAAGUAUUUCGGUAUGUAAAGCUCUAUCAGCAGGGAAGAAAAUGACGGUACCUGACUAAGAAGCCCCGGCUAACUACGUGCCAGCAGCCGCGGUAAUACGUAGGGGGCAAGCGUUAUCCGGAUUUACUGGGUGUAAAGGGAGCGUAGACGGCGAAGCAAGUCUGAAGUGAAAACCCAGGGCUCAACCCUGGGACUGCUUUGGAAACUGUUUUGCU
rnacentral:rRNA from 1 species